rnacentral:rRNA from 1 species
UGCGUAGGCGGAUAUAUAAGUCAGCGGUGAAAUCCUGCAGCUUAACUGUAGUUAGCCGUUGAUACUGUGUAUCUUGAGAGUAGAUGAGGUAGGCGGAAUGUGUUGUGUAGCGGUGAAAUGCAUAGAUAUAACACAGAACACCAAUUGCGAAGGCAGCUUACUAAACUAUAUCUGACGCUGAGGCACGAAAGCGUGGGGAUCAAACAGGAUUAGAUACCCUGGUAGUCC